rnacentral:rRNA from 1 species
ACGAACGCUGGCGGCGUGCCUAAUACAUGCAAGUUGAGCGCUGAAGAUUGGUGCUUGCACCAAUUUGAAGAGCAGCGAACGGGUGAGUAACGCGUGGGGAAUCUGCCUUUGAGCGGGGGACAACAUUUGGAAACGAAUGCUAAUACCGCAUAACAACUUUAAACAUAAGUUUUAAGUUUGAAAGAUGCAAUUGCAUCACUCAAAGAUGAUCCCGCGUUGUAUUAGCUAGUUGGUGAGGUAAAGGCUCACCAAGGCGAUGAUACAUAGCCGACCUGAGAGGGUGAUCGGCCACAUUGGGACUGAGACACGGCCCAAACUCCUACGGGAGGCAGCAGUAGGGAAUCUUCGGCAAUGGACGAAAGUCUGACCGAGCAACGCCGCGUGAGUGAAGAAGGUUUUCGGAUCGUAAAACUCUGUUGGUAGAGAAGAACGUUGGUGAGAGUGGAAAGCUCAUCAAGUGACGGUAACUACCCAGAAAGGGACGGCUAACUACGUG